CCCUUAGAUGUCCUGGGCCGCACGCGUGCUACACUGAUGCAUACAGCGAGCACUUCCCGGCCCCGAAAGGCGGCUGGUAAUCAGCAAUAUGCAUCGUGAUGGGGAUAGAUCUUUGGAAUUCUUGAUCUUGAACGAGGAAUGCCUAGUAGGCGCAGGUCAUUACCCUGCGUCGAUUAAGUCCCUGCCCUUUGUACACACCGCCCGUCGCUCCUACCAAUUUGAGUGAUCCGGUGAACCUUUUGGACCGAGACUGCUUGCAGACUUGGGAAAUCAAGUAAACCACGUCACUUAGAGGAAGGAGAAGUCGUAACA
rnacentral:rRNA from 1 species